CCAGGUUGUAGCCAUCGCCAUGUGCUCGUCGGAUUGCAGAGAGAGAUUUGCGGAAAAAAGCUGAGUGCGAGGAAGCCGCCCCGCUGUUCUCGGAUUUGGCGAUGAUUCGGCGCCAGGGUUGGAUCGAGACCUUCACUGCGGGGACGUGCUCGUGGUGGUGACAUCCAGGGAGAUCGAAGGCCGUCAGAUCACCUGCAAAUUCUCGCCGUCGCUUGCCUUGGCUGCAGAUCCGAGCAGCUCGUGGACAGCGACAACCGCCACCUAAUCUCCAAUGA
rnacentral:lncRNA from 7 species